UACGUAGGGACCAAGCGUUGUUCGGAUUUACUGGGCGUAAAGGGCGCGUAGGCGGCGCGGUAAGUCACUUGUGAAAUCUCUGAGCUUAACUCAGAACGGCCAAGUGAUACUGCAGUGCUAGAGUGUGGAAGGGGCAAUCGGGAAUUCUUGGUGUAGCGGUGAAAUGCGUAGAUAUCAAGAGGAACACCUGAGGUGAAGACGGGUUGCUGGGCCAACACUGACGCUGAGGAGCGAAAGCAUGGGGAGCGAAACAGG
rnacentral:rRNA from 1 species